rnacentral:rRNA from 1 species
UGGGGAAUAUUGCACAAUGGGCGCAAGCCUGAUGCAGCAACGCCGCGUGCGGGAUGACGGCCUUCGGGUUGUAAACCGCUUUCAGUAGGGACGAAGGUAACCUGACGGUACCUACAGAAGAAGGACCGGCCAACUACGUGUCAGCAGCCGCGGUGAUACGUAGGGUCCGAGCGUUGUCCGGAAUUAUUGGGCGUAAAGGGCUUGUAGGCGGUCUGCUGCGUCGGAAGUGAAAACUCAGGGCUUAACCCUGAGCCUGCUUCCGAUACGGGCAGACUAGAGGGAUGCAGGGGAGAACGGAAUUCCUGGUGGAGCGGUGGAAUGCGCAGAUAUCAGGUGGAACACCGGUGGCGAAGGCGGUUCUCUGGGCAGAAACUGACGCUGAGACGCGAAAGCGUGGGGAGCAAACAG